rnacentral:rRNA from 1 species
UACGGAGGGGCUAGCGUUGUUCGGAAUUACUGGGCGUAAAGCGCACGUAGGCGGCUUUGCAAGUUAGAGGUGAAAGCCCGGGGCUCAACUCCGGAAUUGCCUUUAAAACUGCAUCGCUAGAAUUGUGGAGAGGUAAGUGGAAUUCCGAGUGUAGAGGUGAAAUUCGUAGAUAUUCGGAAGAACACCAGUGGCGAAGGCGGGUCUCUGGGCCGAUACUGACGCUGAGGAGCGAAAGCGUGGGGAGCGAACAGG